rnacentral:rRNA from 1 species
UCGGGAAUAUUGGACAAUGGGCGAAAGCCUGAUCCAGCCAUGCCGCGUGUGUGAAGAAGGUCUUCGGAUUGUAAAGCACUUUAAGUUGGGAGGAAGGGCAGUUACCUAAUACGUAUCUGUUUUGACGUUACCGACAGAAUAAGCACCGGCUAACUCUGUGCCAGCAGCCGCGGUAAUACAGAGGGUGCAAGCGUUAAUCGGAAUUACUGGGCGUAAAGCGCGCGUAGGUGGUUUGUUAAGUUGGAUGUGAAAUCCCCGGGCUCAACCUGGGAACUGCAUUCAAAACUGACAAGCUAGAGUAUGGUAGAGGGUGGUGGAAUUUCCUGUGUAGCGGUGAAAUGCGUAGAUAUAGGAAGGAACACCAGUGGCGAAGGCGACCACCUGGACUGAUACUGACACUGAGGUGCGAAAGCGUGGGGAGCAAACAGGAUUAGAUACCCCCGUAGUCCCUGAGCGGGCUGGCAAGGCGCAU